rnacentral:tRNA from 1 species
GGAGAGGUGGGUGAGUGGCUGAAACCAACAGUUUGCUAAACUGUCGUACUCUAUCAGGGUACCGGGGGUUCGAAUCCCCCCCUCUCCG